GAUGAACGCUGGCGGCGUGCCUAAUACAUGCAAGUCGAGCGAAUGGAUUAAGAGCUUGCUCUUAUGAAGUUAGCGGCGGACGGGUGAGUAACACGUGGGUAACCUGCCCAUAAGACUGGGAUAACUCCGGGAAACCGGGGCUAAUACCGGAUAACAUUUUGAACCGCAUGGUUCGAAAUUGAAAGGCGGCGUCGGCUGUCACUUAUGGAUGGACCCGGAUCGCAUUAGCUAGUUGGUGAGGUAACGGCUCACAAAGGCAACGAUGCGUAACCGUACUGGGACGGUGGUCCGGCACACCGCGCCCAGGACACGACCCAGACUCCUACGGGAGGCAGCAGUAGUGAAUCAUCCGCAAUGGACGAACGUCUGACGUGGAAACGCCGCGUGAGGGAUGAGGGCUUUCGGGUCGUAAAACUCUGAUGUUAGCGAAGAACAAGUGCUAGAUGAAUAAGCUGGCACGUUGACGGUACCUAACCAGAAAGCCACGGCUAAGUACGUGCAGCCGCCGCCGUAA
rnacentral:rRNA from 1 species